UGUGUAGGUUCAACCAGGAAAAAAGAGGCCAACUGAAUCUGCCACAAAAACACUUGUUCCUGCUAAAAAGGCUAAAUUAGUUUCACCUCAAAACACAGAUGGUAAGAAGGGUGGGGCUCAUACAGCAACUCCUCAUCCUAACAAGAAGGCGGGGAAAACUCCUGCUACCGGUGACAAAGGCAAGGGGCAGAGCCCAAAAUUCUGGUGGCCAAGUCUCUUGCAAAUCUUGCAGCAAGACAUUCAACUCAGAAAAUGCGCUUCAAUCCCAUUCCAAGGCUAAGCAUGGUGUCUCUUAGAGCAAAAGAAGUCUGUCUGUCGAAAUC